UACGUAGGGUGCGAGCGUUAAUCGGAAUUACUGGGCGUAAAGCGUGCGCAGGCGGUAAGUUAAGUCUGAUGUGAAAGCCCCGGGCUCAACCUGGGAAUGGCAUUGGAAACUGGCUUGCUGGAGUGUGGCAGAGGGGGGUGGAAUUCCGCGUGUAGCAGUGAAAUGCGUAGAGAUGCGGAGGAACACCGAUGGCGAAGGCAGCCCCUUGGGCCAACACUGACGCUCAGGCACGAAAGCGUGGGGAGCAAACAGG
rnacentral:rRNA from 1 species